UAAGAAGUGUCUUUUUGAAACUAAAUUUAAUCGAAAAUCCCAGAGGUUCGGUGCUGUGUAGGAGACCUGCAACUAGUUGGCUUCUCCAUUGGAUUUCUCCAUCUUGGCCUAAAUUGGUGUCUUAUCAGAUUAGACUAGAGGACUUCAUAAGGAAAGGAUCCAAGAGGCAAACCAUAAUUGGACCAUAAUUAAAUCAAAGGAUUUAUAACAAAAAGGACAGGAAAAAAAUAGCCAUACAGGGUGGCAUUAGGAGGGCAAGGAAAUCAAUUAUAAUACAAUAUAAGGCAACAAAGGUUAGCCAUAUUUAUACAAACUUAUAAAAGCCCUGGAAAUAAUUCGAUUAUGAUUGGAAACGUGCCGGUGAUGGCCCAGCGAGGACAAAUUAGACUGACAGACAGAAGACCAGAGGGUCCAAAAUUGGUACCACUCUAUCGAACGUUCGAAGGGAAGGAACAAGGCGCGUCGAAAGAUAACUCGGAGGAAGAAAUUAUUUUCAGGGGUUUCCCUGAUUGCGAAUUGCCUAGAAAAUGCUCUAAACGAAAAUUACCGAUUAAAUUAUCGGAGCUCGAACUUAGAAGAUCGAACAGAACAAAACGUUUGAAAAGGGAUGAAAAAUAUGUUUAUAGUUGAAAGCUCGAUCGAAUUUAAAAACAAAAAGAAAAAUUAUUAUUAUUAAAGUUUUGUUUGAAGAAGAGAAGAAACAAUACAAAUAAACUGUUAUAUUGUUAUAAAUAAUUAAGUAUAAGAUAAACCUAUUUAA